GUCUGAAGAACUGGCUUGCCAGGUGCUUAGGAACACAUGCUCGCCUCGCUGCUUAGUAGGGCCAAGGUUAGGUUGAUUUCUUCAUGAAGAGGAUCACUGGAAAGUGGUGCAGAGAGGGUCCCAAAAUAAUUUUCAUCCUGGAAAAAGAGAUUUAAACAUCCUGAUAAUUCUUCUCUGGAUUGCUGGACAUACAUAAGAUUAUACUGUCAUCAGAGAUGGACUUCAGCAAAGUCAAAAUAUUGGGAGCCAUUUCUGAAGCAUUUGGAUCAUGCUCUUCAAUAUUGUCUGCCAGUUGUUUGAAGAUAUUGAUGUUGUGUAGUCAGGCAUAGAUGGGCAUGUUAAUCCAUUUCCACACACAGUUCCUGUAAUCACCGACAGGGAGUGAACUUUGAGCUGGGAAAACCUGCCUCCUGUUGCCAAAGAGUUAAGCUGAACAGAAGCUGGAGCAGAAACCUC